rnacentral:ncRNA from 1 species
UUUCAUAGAUAGAAUAAGAUUACUAAUCUGAAUUAAGAAAAUAGUAAGCAAAGCUUGUUAAGUUAGAUAAUAAAACUUGGCUCUGAUUUUGAGUAUGGCGCACACUAAGAGAUACACAUGGCUUUUUUAGAGAGAGGUGAGGUGGAAGAUAUGAUAUUAAGAGUUAGCAAAAAGCCACGGUAAUAAGAUCUUCUAGGAUGUUAUAGUUAACAUGAUGUCCUGAAAUGCCCACUAACACCAGUGUUGAAGGUUAAGGAAAGAGCGAGAGCUCGUGUUAGUUUAGUGAAUUAAAUUUGGUUAAUUUGGUGCCAGCAUCCGCGGUUAAACCAAGAAAUUUAGUCAUUCUGUUACGGUAAAAAGACAGUUAAGCAGAGAUAAGGAUCGUUAGACCUUUAGUAUAGGAGUAAAAUCUAAAUACUAGAAGUUAUAUCGGAUACGGUUUAUUUAGAAUGCUGAAUCUGUGAUAGCUUUAAGGGAAACUGGGAUUGGAUACCCCAUUAUUUUUAGUCGUAAAUUAAGUUUGAGCUUACCAGAGUACUACGAAUAAAAAGUUUAAAACUCAAAGAGCUUGGCGGUGUUUUAGACCUCUCAGGGGAACCUGUCUCGUAAUCGACAAUCCACGUUAGACCUAACCCUUUAUGGCGAAACAGCCUGUAUACCGUCGUCGUCAGGUAACUUCUUAAAAUAUAGCAGUUAGCUUGAGAAUUUUAUUAAUUAAAACGUCAGAUCAAGGUGCAGCUGAUAAAAGGGUGAGGAUGGGUUACAAUUACACACUUGUAAAUACGAAAGGAUAUUUGAAAUAAAAUGACCUGAAGGAGGACUUGAAAGUAAUUUUAGAUAUAUAAAUAGAAUGAAUAAGGCUCUGAAACGUGCACACAUCGCCCGUCGCUCUCGUUGAAAAAUGAGAUAAGUCGUAACAUAGUAGGGGUAAUGGAAAUUGUUCCUAGGCUG